ensembl:rRNA 5S_rRNA 5S ribosomal RNA
GUCUACAGCCAUAUCCCCCUGAACAUACCUGAUCUCGUCUGAUCUCCGAAGCCAAGCAGGGUUGGGCCUGAUUAUUACUUGGAUGGGAGAAGAGCUUAGAGUCAUUUGGCCUGAAAGCA